CCAGAUGGAGCAGAGCAGGAGUGGCCCUGGCAUAAAUUGCUCCGUCCCAGCUCAAAUUGCUCCUGUCCCAGGGGCAUGUGUAAAUGCUGCAGCUGGAAGUAG